GCCCCCGUAGCCCAACCGGGUAGAGGCAGGCUCCUUAAAAGAGUCACAGUACGGGUUCGAAUCCCGUCGGGGGCAC
rnacentral:tRNA from 1 species